rnacentral:misc_RNA from 1 species
UCUCUGUUGGUGAACCAGCGGAGGGAUCAUUACCGAGUUUACAACUCCCAAACCCAAUGUGAACCAUACCAAACUGUUGCCUCGGCGGGGUCACGCCCCGGGUGCGUCGCAGCCCCGGAACCAGGCGCCCGCCGGAGGGACCAACCAAACUCUUUCUGUAGUCCCCUCGCGGACGUUAUUUUUACAGCUCUGAGCAAAAAUUCAAAAUGAAUCAAAACUUUCAACAACGGAUCUCUUGGUUCUG